AGAGUUUGAUCAUGGCUCAGAUUGAACGCUGGCGGCAUGCCUUACACAUGCAAGUCGAACGGCAGCAUGGGUGCUUGCACCUGAUGGCGAGUGGCGAACGGGUGAGUAAUGCAUCGGAACGUGCCCUGAAGUGGGGGAUAACGUAGCGAAAGUUACGCUAAUACCGCAUAUUCUGUGAGCAGGAAAGCAGGGGAUCGCAAGACCUUGCGCUUUGGGAGCGGCCGAUGUCGGAUUAGCUAGUUGGUGGGGUAAAGGCCUACCAAGGCGACGAUCCGUAGCGGGUCUGAGAGGAUGAUCCGCCACACUGGGACUGAGACACGGCCCAGACUCCUACGGGAGGCAGCAGUGGGGAAUUUUGGACAAUGGGCGCAAGCCUGAUCCAGCCAUGCCGCGUGAGUGAAGAAGGCCUUCGGGUUGUAAAGCUCUUUCGGUGGGGAAGAAAUGGCAACGGUUAAUACCCGUUGUUGAUGACGGUACCCGCAUAAGAAGCACCGGCUAACUACGUGCCAGCAGCCGCGGUAAUACGUAGGGUGCGAGCGUUAAUCGGAAUUACUGGGCGUAAAGCGUGCGCAGGCGGUUGUGUAAGUCAGAUGUGAAAUCCCCGGGCUCAACCUGGGAACUGCAUUUGAGACUGCACGGCUAGAGUGUAGCAGAGGGGGGUAGAAUUCCACGUGUAGCAGUGAAAUGCGUAGAGAUGUGGAGGAAUACCGAUGGCGAAGGCAGCCCCCUGGGUUACUACUGACGCUCAUGCACGAAAGCGUGGGGAGCAAACAGGAUUAGAUACCCUGGUAGUCCACGCCCUAAACGAUGUCAACUAGAUGUUGGAAGGGUUAAACCUUUUAGUGUCGUAGCUAACGCGUGAAGUUGACCGCCUGGGGAGUACGGCCGCAAGGCUAAAACUCAAAGGAAUUGACGGGGACCCGCACAAGCGGUGGAUGAUGUGGAUUAAUUCGAUGCAACGCGAAAAACCUUACCUACCCUUGACAUGUCAGGAACCCUGGAGAGAUCUGGG
rnacentral:rRNA from 1 species